rnacentral:rRNA from 1 species
UACUUUAUGAAUAAGCACCGGCUAACUCCGUGCCAGCAGCCGCGGUAAUACGGAGGGUGCGAGCGUUAUCCGGAUUUAUUGGGUUUAAAGGGUCCGUAGGUGGACUAAUAAGUCAGAGGUGAAAGUCUAUUGCUUAACGAUAGAAUUGCCUUUGAAACUGUUAGUCUUGAGUGAGGUUGAAGUGGCUAGAAUGUGUAGUGUAGCGGUGAAAUGCUUAGAUAUUACGCAGAAUACCAAUUGCGAAGGCAGGUCACUAAACCUUCACUGACACUGAUGGACGAAAGCGUGGGUAGCGAACAGGAUUAGAUACCCUGGUAGUCCACGCCGUAAACGAUGGAUACUCGUUGCUGGGGCAACUCAGUGACUUAGCGAAAGUAAUAAGUAUCCCACCUGGGGAGUACGUUCGCAAGAAUGAAACU